rnacentral:tRNA from 1 species
AUGUAGCUGAGCAGUAAAGUAUUUGCCUAGUAUGCUUAUGGCCCUGGGUUCAUUUCCCAGCAU